GCAGAGACAGCUGUUCUGCGGCAGUGUGCAGUGUCCAGCAUCCAAGGACUCGGCAUUGCAAAUUACGAUGCUUGGCGGCUGGGAGUGUGGAUGUCAAAGAGGAGGGACUUUGGAGAACAGAUCUUCGGCCACAAAGAUAAGUUUUAAAUAAUCCAUUUUCUUUUAACUAAUUGUGCUCAGGCUUGAAGCUAAAGGGGAUGAGCCAAAAAAAAACCCGACAUGAAGCAAACACCAAUCCUCAGAUACGCUGUGCAGACUCUAAUAUUUUUCUGGCUUACAAUAAAAAGUGACCGUCUGAGUCAGAAAAGGUUUCUUCAGCACUGAUCCCCCAUUAUGGAAAUGAACGACAAAUGUUGGUUAAAUGCCUGCUGUGUGUGGGAAUCGUUCUCGAGCAUGGUCUCCUAGUCCAGCAACAUCAGCAUCACCAGAGCUUGUUAGAAAUUCAAACUGGAAGCUUUGGGAUUGGAGCCCAGCCAUCUGUGUUUUAAGAGGCCCUCCAGGAGAUUCCAUACGUAUUAAAGGAGUGCACCUCUCUCCAGCUCAGGACUUGCCUUUGGGGAGGAGAAUCAUUCUUCUCUGGAAGUCAGAUCUCAUUCCAGCUCCCUGUUCCAGCAUGCUCUCCAGUGGCUUUUGGGAGAACUAAAACUGUGAAGGUGAGCUAUGUGCUAGAGAUGGCGCAGAGGGAGAAUGCCGCAGGCCAGUCCCUGCCUCGCCCAUUAAUCGGCAGGAUUCUGAUUCCAAGGGAUGUAACUCUGAUGUACAUUCCAAUUUCAGCUGCUGGUGACCCAGCCCUCAAUAGGAAGACCAGCCCAUCCCUACACUAGUCCUUGGCGGAGAGUGCCUUACCGCGUCCCAACUUCCUGAGGCGAACAGAGCUUGUCAGUCCUUUGCACACAGUCUCAGUACUCAGAUUUAGUGACCAAUCAUGCUUGGAAUCAGUAUUCCCAGCAAGACCCUUUACCUUUGGAAGUUUUUGAUCUUUACAUCAUCAAAGAGACUGGGAGAGAGCAGGCUUUAAUUUUUACUUAUGGGUUGAGAUUAAUAUGUAAAUAUAUGAAAGAGAAAGGGAAAACUGAGUGGACUCAGUCACCUAGACCUCUGGGUCUUUAUUCCAAAAUCAAUUUUUCUGCGAGAUGGUUACUCAGCUGCAUACACUGAAAGAGACUAGUGACUGAAGGACAGAAAAUGGAAGGGUUGGUUUAUUUAGAUCCCAUAUAAUCCAUAUGCAAGGAGAUAGAUUUGUCUAACACUGAAAGAAACCUCAACUAAGGCAUUUUAAAGCAAAUACUAGCAAUAUUGCUUGAAUCUUAGAUUAACUAGAAGGGUUUAACUAUUCCCAAAGAACUAUCAGGCAUCUACCCAGUGGCCUGUGGAUAAACCUACAGUUUGCAUUUUGAGGGGGAGAUUGGGGGUUAGAAGUAAACUGUUGUUUUCAAAAAGUCACUAAUAUUCCUUAAUCCUCAAUUCCAUUUUCCUGGGUUUCUUUGAACAACGUAUCUAUAUAGGGUAUUUUUGUUAAAAUUUAUUGUUUCUUUGGUUACUAGAAUUGCAAUUUUUCUCCCACGCCUCUCUUGACAUAUGAACUUGCUGACAUAGA